GCUAUUUUCUGGUUUAGUGGUUAGAGUGUUGAACUAGGACUCCAGGAGACCAGGGUUUGAAUCCCCGUACAGCC